UACGAAGGGGGCUAGCGUUGCUCGGAAUCACUGGGCGUAAAGCGCACGUAGGCGGACCAUCAAGUCGGAUGUGAAAUCCCUCGGCUUAACCGAGGACGUGCAUUCGAUACUGAUGGCCUUGAGUACGAAAGAGGAUCGCGGAAUUCCCGGUGUAGAGGUGAAAUUCGUAGAUAUCGGGAGGAACACCAGUGGCGAAGGCGGCGAUCUGGGUCGAUACUGACGCUGAGGUGCGAAAGCGUGGGGAGCAAACAGG
rnacentral:rRNA from 1 species